GGAAUAUUAGUAAUGGGCGAAAGCCUGAACUAGCAACGCCGCGUGUGCGAAGAAGGCCUUCGGGUUGUAAAGCACUUUUUGAGAGGAUGAGGAAGGACGGUACUCUCAGAAUAAGUCUCGGCUAACUACGUGCCAGCAGCCGCGGUAACACGUAGGAGGCGAACGUUAUCCGGAUUUACUGGGCGUAAAGCGCGUGUAGGUGGUUUGGUAAGUAGGGCGUGAAAGCUCCUGGCUCAACUGGGAGAGGCCGUUCUAAACUGCCGAACUAGAGGAUGGUAGAGGGAGGUGGAAUUCCGGGUGUAGCGGUGGAAUGCGCAGAUAUCCGGAGGAACACCAGUGGCGAAAGCGGCCUCCUGGACCACUCCUGACACUCAGACGCGAAAGCUAGGGUAGCAAACGG
rnacentral:rRNA from 1 species